GACGAACGCUGGCGGCGUGCUUAACACAUGCCAGUCGAACGGAAAGGCCCUGCUUUUGUGGGGUGCUCGAGUGGCGAACGGGUGAGUAACACGUGAGUAACCUGCCCUUGACUUUGGGAUAACUUCAGGAAACUGGGGCUAAUACCGGAUAGGAGCUCCUGCUGCAUGGUGGGGGUUGGAAAGUUUCGGCGGUGGGGGAUGGACUCGCGGCUUAUCAGCUUGUUGGUGGGGUAGUGGCUUACCAAGGCUUUGACGGGUAGCCGGCCUGAGAGGGUGACCGGCCACAUUGGGACUGAGAUACGGCCCAGACUCCUACGGGAGGCAGCAGUGGGGAAUAUUGCACAAUGGGCGGAAGCCUGAUGCAGCAACGCCGCGUGCGUGAUGACGGCCUUCGGGGUGUAAACCGCUUUCGCCUGUGACGAAGCGUGAGUGACGGUAAUGGGUAAAGAAGCACCGGCUAACUACGUG
rnacentral:rRNA from 1 species